CAGGGAAACAAGGCAAGCCCCAUGGCCCCAGCCAGGGUGUUGCUGGAAUUGAAUUUUUGACUCUGGGAGGGCUGGAAAAACAUUAUAAAGAAAUUAACUGAGUGUGUUUGCAAAAGUCAAAACAUGAGAGUUGCCCAGGGUAGGGUUCAGGAUGUACCCAGUUCCUGUGAGGUGUCACACUCAUGGGUUAAGGCUUCAGGAUUCCUGUUGCUGCAGUGUCUCCAAAAGUGUUCCCCAUUAUUGCUCCAGUGCUUUGAUCCAGUGUCCUGACAAAUAGCUGCCAUGGAAAAAAAAAAAAAGUCAUCCUGGCUGAAUUUCUGUCUUGGACUGAGGGAUGCCCAGCCCUGCCAGGGAGAGGCUCAAGAUCUAACACCUCGUGUUUUUUGAACUGUAAAAGCUACAGUUUUCCUCUGCUACAAAAAAAAAAAGGAACUAUUCAGAGGAAAAGAGAAAUCAAUUUUGUGUCUGAGGGGUGUUCAAACCCAAGGUUAAAGUGAGAUUAGCACAGCUCUGAACACUGCUUUAGAGGCUUGGGGACUUUGUUGGGACCCUGAGGAGCCAGGCUUUGCAGCAGGGUAUUUCCAACCCAGCCUCAGCAACGUAUUUCCAGGUUCUGUUGAAUUCUAGAAAUUAUUUUGCUGUAAGAUGUGUCUGGGAGUGCAAGCUGUAUGGGGGAGGCUGGUGGCACUUGAGGGGCCUUGCUAGGUGUGACUUCUCUUGCUGCCAGCAGGCCAGGGCCAUGCCAGCUGUGACUCAGUGCCCACCCCUAGGGAGUCAGUCGGAGCACGUGGCUGCAGACAAAAUCUUCUUUCUCCCACGGCUGCUUGGCAGUGCCUGGUUUUUGCUGUGCACGUGGCUGUGUACAAACAGGGUGUCUUACCAGGGUAGGUUGGAGCAGUGUUGGGGGUUAAACCCCUCCAAAAAUGCACAGGCUGAACCCCUGGCAGGAGUGUGGUGUGUCUGCAAUGCUGCCUCCAUCUCUCAGAGAAUAAAAUGUCUGCCACGUCCAUCCCAGGAGCUCUUUGGGGACAGGAUGUGUGUGGCUUGCAGAGGUGACGCUCAGCUCAGAGCUUGUCAUCUGCAGAGGUUGUGGUGUAGAAAAAGACCAUAUAUGUCCUGUUCCUAGGCUUUUUCUGGUGGGGAGACUGAAAUGCUGUGUCACCUGUGUGGGCAGCAUGGCUGGGCAGCCUCUGGAGAGAACACUGGCAAUGGUGUCACACCUCUGUGCAGCUGGUGGCCCAGGGUCUGCAUUCCAGAGCCCUUCCCUUUGCAAAUGGAGGGCAAAACUGCCUUUGCUGGGCUACAGGAACCCAUCCUGUUCCCACACCUCACCUUGGUGCCAGGUACAAUGCAAUCUCUGAACGUGGACGCCUUGCCCAGCCUGGAGAGAGGGGAUGUGGCUUGGUGGCACUGGGAGUGAGAAGGGGGGUCCUGGCCAUACUCUGGGGGCUGUGGGGGUGGCAGGUACAGAUUUUUGGUCACUGCCAGCACCAGCUGCAUGAGUGAGGAGCAUGCUGGGGUUCAGAGCAGCUGCAGGAAUUGCUGCAGCCAUGGAGCAGAGGCUUGGCUGGCAGAUCUCCCCCCGUGGCAGCGAUUUGAGGCUGCUGCCACUGCUAAACUACUUCCAGCAUCUGACACCCUCCAUAACAAGAUUCAAAGGGCUUGUUUGAGAGGGGAAUGUUUAAUCCAGGGAUGGGGGGAGGGAUAUGGGGAGAAACAAACAACAGAUUGGAAAAAGGAUUCAUAAAUAUCUCAUCAGAGUGAAGUGGGUCACCAGUGUUUGCUGUGACUUGGUGCUGCUGACUCUGAGGGCUGGAUUUGGGAGGGCUGGGAAGCACAGCAGGCUCCUGUACAGUCUGUCCCUGGUUGUGCAGCACCGAGGCCGUUCAGCAGCGUCUGUGACAAGUGACUCUGCUGGCGUGGGGUUUGCGUUGUGUUGUGUCACGUUUGCCGUGCGUUGCGUCAGGAGCUGGGGGCUGAAAUAGACUGGAAGGGAGCUAAAAAUCCUCCUUGGGGAGCUGCUCCUGGCAGCUGAGAGAACACAAGCUCCUUAUGUAAAGCUGCUUUAAUAUUUAUGGUAAUAUCAGAGGCGGUGCAUUACCUCAUCCAUCUUCGCUGCCCUUCUUGGGCAUGGGGAAAGGCUUAGUCACUACUCUGCUGACCUUCUCCUGGGUGCUUGCUUGGCAUCUACCUGCUUUUGAUGCAUUUAUUCCUCCAGCAGCUUGGAAAAAUGGAGAAAUGCUGCUUUUCCUCAUUGGGAAUGGGGAGCUGAAGUACCGGGAGUGCUGCUCAGUUGCAGGAGGGGACUGGACACAAAUCCCUCCAGGCCUGACAGACCACUCCGUUUGUGACAGAGGGGACAGGUACAGACCCCAAAGGACAGUCCCAAAGGACAGGGUGGUUCAAGCUGCAUUCCUUAGGGAUUAGAGGUGGAGGAGAGUGGGAUGGUGAGAGUGCUGGGAAAUGAGCUCCCUCUGCUGCACCAGAGCCACCUUUGGUGCCUGCUGGUGUUUCCUUAGGGUGAGCAAGGGUCUGUCUGUCCUGUGCAUGAGGGGAUGAGUGCCUUUCUUCCAGACAGGCAGGAGUGACAAAGAAGGGAAGAGGAGAUUAGGGGAUGAGGGGGAGGAUUUGAAGAUAAAGUGUUUCAUGUCGUCUCUGGCUUUUUCUGCACAGCAUUGCUUCUGGUCAGAUAUGGUCAGUAGCUAUUUCCAAGAUGGAUGUUUCCAACUGGAGGACACUUGGAGUCUAGGGAUGGACCUUUGUUUCAGGAUAAAUCAUGAUACAUAACCCCACUGUGUUGUUAAAUCCUUCCUUGCUGCCAGUUUCAGUGUAGCAGCCAAGGACCUGAUGGAAAUGCCUUGCUUUUCAUGGCAGAGGGAAAAGCCCCAUGGAUGAGCUUCCCACUGCACCCCCGACCCACACCCUGGAGCAGCUCCUCCAUCGUGCAAAGUGACUGACUUUUCCUUCCAAAUGGAAGCAGUAGGGGAGGAUGAGAGGAUUUGGAGAUGGGAUGGGGCUGGUGUCUGCAGAGGGAAGGGGCCAUCCAGAUGGAGCUCUGUGCUGUGGCACGGCUUAGCAAUGACUCAUCGGUGCAGGAUUGAUGCAGCUUUCAUCUGUGCAAAGAGGAGACAGAUGAAUAGAUGUGUUUGGUGAUUUGCUGGGGUUUGAGGCAGGAAAAGUGCCCUUCAGUGAGCAAGAGAAGCUGUUCCUGUGCUGGCCUGUUGCUCCGGCGGAGGGCAGCUUGUUGCGCUGGGUGAAUCCGACUGCACUGACCUUGAGAGCAUCCCAGGGGAGCUGUGGCGUUUGUGUGCCAAUCUUUGCAGCAGCAGCAGCAAUUUGGAAAGCUUUCCUUCUCCUCCUUUGUCAUCCCUGGUUUUAUUAUGCCAGCUCCCUUUUCCCAGCCUGGGAAAGAGCUGGUUAGUUGCUGGCAAUGAGAACCUUCCAGAAAGGGCACUGAUUGUUAAACAGAAAUAGCAUGGAGCAGGGAAAAGGGAGAGAAUGAAGCCUGUCUCCCACAAAAUCUUAUUCCCAAAUGCUGCUGCCUGUGUAGGAGGCAGAGAGGGAGCUGGAAGGGGGAGGAAUGGGUAGACAGGCAGAGACAGCAGCUGACAAGAGGAAAGGGAGGAAUAAAAAGAUGUGAGGAGCUAUAAAGAAGAAAGCAAAGGUAGGAAAAUGUGUCACUAGAGAAAAACUUGGUGUGAUGGAAUGAGGGAAGAGGAGGAGACAAAGGAAUGGAGGGAACCCUUAUAUGCAGGCUUAAUAAUUUGAAGUAAGGAAAGCACCUCUUUCUUCAGUCUGGAGGAGAUGGAGGUGCUUAAAGAUGAGCCCAUGGCCAUACCCUUGGAAGUACAGGAUGGAGAGGAGAGAUGAUUCCCAAGGUAGGGAGCUAAGAGCACACAGAAGUGAGCUAAGCACUGGGAUGGAAAAAGAUGUGCUGCUAAGGGUACCCAGGAGCCAGAGGAGGAGCCAGGCCAGAGGGUCUGGAGAGGUGCUGGGUGAUCCUGUGGCUUCUUGCAGUGAUGGAAAACCAGAGACAAAAGCUCUUUUGUGUGGGCACUUAAGAACUGCCGAUAUUGAUUUUUGGCUUAGUUUGGUUUCUACAUCUUUUAAAACCUUUUCUAAGCUGCAUGAUGGGUUUGUGUUGCUUUUAGUGGAAAUGCACUUAGAAUCAGGAAAUUUUGUUUGUGGCAAUGCAGGGCAUGGUGGCAGGACAAAGCUCCUGGCUCCAUGGCUCCAAGCAAAACCAGCUUUCAUGCCCCCAGGAAUCUGGAUCAGUGAGGUGGAUAAACCUUGAGGUGCCUGGGCUGUGCAGGGUCCCCAUUUCUCAGCAAAAAGUUGAGUUUGCCCUCUCUGAUUUACCUCAUGAUCUCCAUGAUUUUCCUAGGGAAGGAGCAGAAGUUUAAUGCUUGGUCCAUGUGCUGUAACCACACGAAUGUCAGUGUGUGAGUGGCCCAGUUAAUUGAUAUCAAAACAACAAAGAAGGUAAAUUAAUAUUUAUGCCAUGAUUAAUCUGACUCUCCCUGCUUUAACCUCUGAGCCCACUUCAGCUGUGGGCUCUGCUUACUAUUUCUUUAUGUCUCAUUGUACCAGAUUGAAAAAAAAAAAAAAAAAA
rnacentral:lncRNA from 1 species